rnacentral:rRNA from 1 species
GUCCACGCCGUAAACGAUGGAUACUAGGUGUGGGAGGUAUUGACCCCUUCCGUGCCGCAGUUAACACAAUAAGUAUCCCACCUGGGGAGUACGGCCGCAAGGUUGAAACUCAAAGGAAUUGACGGGGCCCGCACAAGCAGUGGAGUAUGUGGUUUAAUUCGAAGCAACGCGAAGAACCUUACCAGGUCUUGACAUCCCGAUGACCGGUUCAGAGAUGAGCCUUUUCUUCGGAACAUCGGUGACAGGUGGUGCAUGGUUGUCGU